UGCCCUAUAGUAUAAUGGUUAUUAUUCUCGGCUCUAACCCGAGGGAUGUCCGUUCGAAUCGAGACUAGGGCGACCA
rnacentral:tRNA from 1 species